rnacentral:rRNA from 1 species
UACGUAGGGUGCGAGCGUUAAUCGGAAUUACUGGGCGUAAAGCGCGCGCAGGCGGUCUUUCAAGUCAGUGGUGAAAGCCUGGAGCUCAACUCCAGAACUGCCAUUGAAACUGCAAGACUUGAGUACGAGAGAGGUGAGUGGAAUUCCCAGUGUAGAGGUGAAAUUCGUAGAUAUUGGGAAGAACACCGGUGGCGAAGGCGGCUCACUGGCUCGUAACUGACGCUCAGGCGCGACAGCGUGGGGAUCAAACAGG